rnacentral:rRNA from 1 species
UACAGAGGGUGCGAGCGUUGUCCGGAAUCACUGGGCGUAAAGGGCGCGUAGGCGGCUUUUCAAGCGUGCGGUGAAAGCUCGGGGCUUAACUCCGAGUCUGCCGUGCGAACUGGGAGGCUUGAGUCUGGGUAGAGGUCGAUGGAAUUCCGGGUGUAGCGGAUGAAAUGCGUAGAUAUGCGGAGGAACACCGAUGGCGAAGGCAAUCCCCUGGGCCUGCACUGACGCUCAUGCACGAAAGCGUGGGGAGCAAACAGG